rnacentral:rRNA from 3 species
UACGUAGGGUGCGAGCGUUGUCCGGAAUUACUGGGCGUAAAGAGUUCGUAGGCGGUUUGUCGCGUCGUCUGUGAAAACCCAUCGCUCAACGAUGGGCCGGCAGGCGAUACGGGCAGACUUGAGUACUGCAGGGGAGACUGGAAUUCCUGGUGUAGCGGUGAAAUGCGCAGAUAUCAGGAGGAACACCGGUGGCGAAGGCGGGUCUCUGGGCAGUAACUGACGCUGAGGAACGAAAGCGUGGGUAGCAAACAGG